rnacentral:rRNA from 1 species
UACGGGGGGGGCAAGCGUUGUUCGGAAUUACUGGGCGUAAAGGGCUCGUAGGCGGCCAACUAAGUCGGAUGUGAAAUCCCCAGGCUCAACUUGGGAACUGCAUCCGAUACUGGAUGGCUUGAAUUCGGGAGAGGGAUGCAGAAUUCCAGGUGUAGCGGUGAAAUGCGCAGAUAUCGGGAAGAACACCCGUGGCGAAGGCGGUUCUCUGGGACGGUACUGACGCUGAGACGCGAAAGCGUGGGGAGCGAACAGG